AUGUACGUCAAUCCCGACCCCCGCUUUCCCCCUUUUCCAUCGAGGGCCGCCGCCGCUGCUUCGUCAUCGUCCAUGGAUUCAAUCGGCCUUUCCCCCUUUCUCUAUGGACAUACUUCUAGGAGCUGCAAUGCUCAAAUUGCCACGGAUCUUAGACUGGUGUCCCUGGUUUUGUUAGCAUCAGGACAUGUUGACCUAAUUGUCCAUGGUUACACUCAUCUUCAAACGGCACAACUUGUUUUGCUGCACAUCUUCUCUUACCAUAUGAUGAAAACAGUUGAUUCGGACUACUUGCCUGGUGGGGUGGUACAUUACCUUUGUUUUUUUAACUAUGAGAGCAGAACGACGGCGCCGACGUGGAUGACUCGGAGCUCAACCUUAUCAAGGGCCGCGAGCAGCGGUGACUUUCUUUUCCACGGGAAGAUGGCCAAGGGCGCCAUCAGCCACUUUGUUGUCGCCGUCGAAGAGUCCAAGCUCGUGUCCGCAUCGGUUGCAUUGGUGCCAAUCAGAUUUUUUGGCCAUUUUGUCUUUGUCUUUGUCCAUGGUCAGAUCAUGGUUUUUAGGCUUGAUUGUUAUGAGUCAGUAAGGCAUGUUUUAUUAUCUUCUUCUGAAGGUUUGGAGAUGGUGGCCUGUGAGGAGGAUUUCAGGGGAGAUCGUGUGUGA
rnacentral:rRNA from 1 species